rnacentral:rRNA from 1 species
GACGAACGCUGGCGGCGUGCUUAACACAUGCAAGUCGAACGGAAAGGCCCGGCUUUGGGGGGGUGCGCUAGUUGCGAACUGGUGAGUAACACUUGAGUAACCUGCCCUUGACUGUGGGAUAACUUCAGGAAACUUGGUGUAAUAGCGGAUAGGAGCUCCUGCUGCAGGGUGGGGGUGGGAAGGUUUCGGCGGUUGGGAAUGGACUGGCGGCUUAUCAGCUUGUUGGUUGGGUAGUGGCUUACCAAGGCUUUGACGGGUAGCCGGCCUGAAAGGGAGACCGGCCACAUUGGGACUGAGAUACGCACCAGCCUCAUACGGGAGGGAGCAGGGGGGAAUAAUGAACAAUGGGCGGAAGAAUGACGCAGCAACGCCGGGUGCGUGAUGAAGGCAUUCGGGUUGUAAAUCGCUUUCGUUUGCGACGAAUCGUGAGUGCAGGUACUGGGGAAAGAAGCACCGGCUACUUACGG